rnacentral:tRNA from 1 species
GGGCGAUUAGCUCAGCCUGGAUAGAGCGUUGGCCUCCGGAGCCAAAGGUCAAGGGUUCGAAUCCCUUAUCGCCCU